UAAGGAAUAUUGCUCAAUGGGAGAAAUCCUGAAGCAGCAACGCCGCGUGGAGGAUGAAGGGUCUAUGACUUGUAAACUCCUGUAAAGAAGGAAAAAAUUCCCAUUUGAUGGGAGAUGAUGGUACUUCUGGAGUAAGCCCCGGCUAACUACGUGCCAGCAGCCGCGGUAAUACGUAGGGGGCAAGCGUUGUCCGGAUUUACUGGGUUUAAAGGGUCCGUAGGCGGACUUAUAAGUCAGUGGUGAAAGCCUGUCGCUUAACGAUAGAACUGCCAUUGAUACUGUAAGUCUUGAGUAUAUUUGAGGUAGCUGGAAUAAGUAGUGUAGCGGUGAAAUGCGUAGAUAUCAGGAGGAACACCGGCGGUGUAGACGGCUUGCUAGACCAUAACUGACGCUGAGGCACGAAAGCGUGGGUAGCAAACA
rnacentral:rRNA from 1 species